rnacentral:piRNA from 1 species
UCAUCAGAUUCUCCAAGGUCAAAGUGA